rnacentral:rRNA from 1 species
CCUACGGGAGGCAGCAGUGGGGAAUAUUGGACAAUGGGGGGAACCCUGAUCCAGCGACGCCGCGUGAGUGAAGAAGUAUUUCGGUAUGUAAAGCUCUAUCAGCAGGGAAGAAAGAAAUGACGGUACCUGACUAAGAAGCCCCGGCUAACUACGUGCCGGCAGCCGCGGUAAUACGUAGGGGGCAAGCGGUAUCCGGAUUUAUUGGGUUUAAAGGGUGCGUAGGCGGACUGUUAAGUCAGCGGUAAAAGCCCGGGGCUCAACCCCGGCGAGCCGUUGAAACUGGCUGUCUUGAGAUGUCGAGGGGUAUGCGGAAUGCGCAGUGUAGCGGUGAAAUGCUUAGAUAUUGCGCAGAACUCCGAUUGCGAAGGCAGCAUACCGGCGGCGAUCUGACGCUGAGGCACGAAAGCGCGGGUAUCGAACAGGAUUAGAUACCCCUGUAGUC